AAUAUUGGACACUGGGGGCAACCCUGAUCCAGCCAUGCCGCGUGUGUGAAGAAGUUCUUCGGCUUUUAAAGCACUUUAAGUUGGGAGGAAGGGCUUUAGGUUAAUACCCUGAAGUUUUGACGUUACCACCCGAAUAAUCCCCGGCUAACUCUGUUCCAGCAGCCGCUGUAAUCCCGAGGGUGCACGCGUUAAUCGGAAUUACUGGGCGUAAAGCGCGCGUAGGUGGUUCAGUAAGAUGGGUGUGAAAUCCCCGGGCUUAACCUGGGAACUGCUUUCAUAACUGCUGAGCUAGAGUACGGUAGAGGGUAGUGGAAUUUCCUGUGUAGCGGUGAAAUGCGUAGAUAUAGGAAGGAACACCAGUGGCGAAGGCGACUACCUGGACUGAUACUGACACUGAGGUGCGAAAGCGUGGGGAGCAAAC
rnacentral:rRNA from 1 species